GGCUAGCGGCUGGCCGUGUGGUGACCUUGGGCGAGUUACUUCGCACAGCCAUCCAGGGGCCUCUUCUCCAACACGAUAGCACUGCACCCGGAGGGUAGGCCUUCAGACCUGAGCUGAAAUCUACACCACCGGCUCUCUGACUAUCAGGCUUUGGACUAUACUUUGGGCUUUCCUGGGUCUCUUACCUGGCAGACAGCAGAUUUUGGAACUUUUCAGCCUCCAUAAUCAUUUCCCAGAAGAACCACAAAGCAUAAAUUUCCCCAAAAGGGGAAUUUUGUUGAUGGCUUUAGUCUAUUCCCUCCUAAAAGACCAGCUACAACCAAAUGAAGUGAACGUAACCUCAAGGGUGUAUUGUCUUCAUAAUAAAAGAUGAAGCUUAGAACUGGAUC
rnacentral:lncRNA from 1 species